rfam:Ipomoea nil DNA, scaffold: scaffold2279, cultivar: Tokyo-kokei standard.
AUCUUUGCGCUUGGGGCAAUGAUGCAGCUAGUGAGGUUAUAACCGAGGCGCGUCUAUUGCUGGUUGAAAACUAUUUCCAAACCCCCUCUUUGGCUUGAGUUUUGCUUAAGCCUUAGAGAAUUUUUGGAAGGGUUUCCUUUACUGGAAGCC